rnacentral:rRNA from 1 species
GGUAAGGCCCACCAGGGGAGAUCCGUAGNGGGUUGAGGGGAGAUCAGCCACANGGAAUGAGACCGGUCCAGAAUCCUACGGGAGGCAGCAGUGGGGAAUAUUGGACAAUGGGNGCAAGCUGAUCCAGCCAUACCGCGUGGGUGAAGAAGGCCUUCGGGUUGUAAAGCCCUUUUGUUGGGAAAGAAAUCCAGCCGGCUAAUACCUGGUUGGGAUGACGGUACCCAAAGAAUAAGCACCGGCUAACUUUGUGCCAGCAGCCGCGGUAAUACGAAGGGUGCAAGCAGAAUACUCUGGAAUUACUGGGCGUAAAGCGUGCGUAGGUGGUUGUUUAAGUCUGUUGUGAAAGCCCUGGGCUCAACCUGGGAACUGCAGUGGAAACUGGACAACUAGAGUGUGGUAGAGGGUAGCGGAAUUCCCGGUGUAGCAGUGAAAUGCGUAGAGAUCGGGAGGAACAUCCAUGGCGAAGGCAGCUACCUGGACCAACACUGACACUGAGGCACGAAAGCGUGGGGAGCAAACAGGAUAGAUACCCUGGUAGAUACCACGCCUAAACGAGCGAACGGUAGUGGGUUCCAUGGCACCUAUGACCGUCCNANCGCCUGCCUUUCGUCCGGACCNCUCGCC